rnacentral:rRNA from 1 species
UACGGAGGAUCCAGGCGUUAUCCGGAUUUAUUGGGUUUAAAGGGUGCGCAGGCGGGGAAUUAGGUCGGCGGUGAAAUUUCGGGGCUCAACCUCGACAGUGCCGUUGAAACCGUUUCUCUUGAGUGCGGAUGAGGUAGGCGGAAUUUGUGGUGUAGCGGUGAAAUGCGUAGAUAUCACAAGGAACACCGAUUGCGGAGGCAGCUUACUAAACCGUUACUGACGCUCAUGCACGAAGGCGUGGGGAUCAAACAGGAUUAGAUACCCUGGUAGUCCACGCAGUAAACGAUGAUUACUUGCUGUUUGCGAUACACAGUAAGCGGCGUAGCGAAAGCGUUAAGUAAUCCACCUGGGGAGUACGUUCGCAAGAAUGAAACUCAAAGGAAUUGACGGGGGCCCGCACAAGCGGAGGAACAUGUGGUUUAAUUCGAUGAUACGCGAGGAACCUUACCCGGGCUUGAAAUGCAUUCGACUGGGUCGGAAACGGCCUUUCCCUUCGGGGCGGAUGCGUAGGUGCUGCAUGGUU